GACACGGCUCCACGCAUUCGCCGGCUUCUUUGAAAACAAAUGCACAUGGCUCGCGUAGAAGUGCAUGGGGAAGGGUCGUCAACGAGUUGUUACGACAGUGUUGUAAAAUAUCUACUACGAAGCUGUAGGGGGCAAUGUGUAGAGAAAAAAGUGUGUGCGUAAACCAAUAAAACAGCGACGAAAUGGCCGAUCCUGCAUAGUGGGCCUUUAAAUGUUAACCUUGUUGUUAAGCUUUAUUCAAACAUCCCAACAUUUUUUUGAAUCAUUAAGGUACGGCCACACACAUUACGCGCGUAGGCUUAAGGGAAAGCGCCUAACCUACCACUUGAUCAUUAUGUGUCACAAAAAUGGUUCAACGUGCCUAGGCUUACGCAGCUAGAUGAGCCCGCCCAAAACUUAUUUUCCCCCGCUAUUUUUCUUUUGCUCCACAAACAUGCCGGAGAUCACCACCAUCGCUGCGCUGUAUUUGUUGGGGGAGUCCGAGGAACGUAGGAAUCGUCCAUGUUCUUUCUGCUUCUGUGCGUCCUCCAUCUCUCUGCCAGUGACGUCGGGUCAAGCUCAACGCUGAUUGGCUAUCGCGGCUAAGCGUCACGUGAGUUCUCAACCACGGGCCCGCGGAGCAUUGGCCAACGCGCCACAGGGAUUAACACCGCACCAAAUCAUCUGACCACAUCACCCCCGUCCUCAUCCAACUUCACUGGCUCCCAGUACACUACCGCAUCCAAUACACAACCCUAGUCCUCACCUACAAAGCUCUCCACAACCUAGCCCCCAGUUACCUCUGCGACCUCCUCCAAGAAUACUCUCCCUCCCGCUCCCUCCGCUCAACCUCUGCUGGACUACUAUGUAUCCCCUCAUCACGACUCAUUACAAUGGGUGCCCGGUCAUUCAGCUUUUCAGCACCCAGGCUCUGGAACUCCCUCCCCCCACACAUAAAACAGUCAGACACAAUUACAACCUUCAAAUCCCAACGCAAAACUCACCUGUUCAAACUCGCACACAACGUCUAACUGAUCACUGUCUUGAUUGUUUGUUUGUUUUGUCUUGUUUUUGUUUUAUUUUAUUAUUUCCACAAUGUCUUGUUUUUAAACGAUUUAUGAUGACUUUAUGCUCUGUAAGGUGACCUUGGGUGCCUUGAAAGGCGCCUCUAAUUUAAAUGUAUUAUUAUUAUUUAUUAUUAAGACAAAGCCUCAGUCAUUAAAAGCUUGAAGAACUCGGGUCUAAUUGACUUCCAUUGAGCCUGCUAGUGCAUGAGACGUCUCUCCCGCUCUAGCGCUAGCUAAUUUAGAUACCUUGGUUGUGCCUAACACCGUGGAUUUUUCCUCCAACUACAAUGCCAACUACAAUGUUUAAUGUGAGUUCAAUGUUUAGUUCUUCAUUAAUGUGUGCUACUGUUACAGCGUUACUAUGGAUUGUUGAAGUUUGUCAAAUUUAUAUAAUAAUUUUAUUUUGAAAGUAAGUAAUUUUCUUUAUUUUUUUCUCUCUGUUUUUAUCUUUGCAAUGCUUUUUAUUAGUUAGAUUUGCUCCUUCCUGCGUCUGGUGGUGGUAAUUAUAUUGACCCGGAGUCGUCAGCUCGUUCCUUCCUCUAUUUUUUUGAUGGUUUGUGUGAA